GAAAUGCGAUAAGUAAUGUGAAUUGCAGAAUUCAGUGAAUCAUCGAAUCUUUGAACGCACAUUGCGCUCGCCAGUAUUCUGGCGAGCAUGCCUGUUCGAGCGUCAUUUCAACCAUCAAGCUCUGCUUGCGUUGGGGAUCCGCGGCUGCCCGCGGUCCCUCAAAACAGUGGCGGGCUCGCUAGUCACACCGAGCGUAGUAACUCUACAUCGCUAUGGUCGUGCGGCGGGUUCUUGCCGUAAAACCCCCAAUUUCUAAGGUUGACCUCGGAUCAGGUAGGAAUACCCGCUGAACUUAAGC
rnacentral:misc_RNA from 1 species